rnacentral:tRNA from 1 species
GGUGGCUCAGUGGUAGAGUGCUUGCCUUGCCUGCAUGAGGCCCUGGGAUCGAUUCCCAGUACCA